rnacentral:ncRNA from 1 species
AAUGCUAGGGGAGCGUAAGCUGAGAUUGGGCUGUGGUCCUGACCCUCAUUACUUGAACCGGGUAAUACCGGCGUAAGGAAGCGAGAUA